rnacentral:rRNA from 1 species
GACGAACGCUGGCGGCGUGCUUAACACAUGCAAGUCGAACGAAGUGGCGAACGGGUGAGUAACGCGUAAUCAACCUGCCCUUCAGAGGGGGACAACAGUUGGAAACGACUGCUAAUACCGCAUACUGAAGGAGGGGAUUGCGUCUGAUUAGCUAGUAGGUGGGGUAACGGCUCACCUAGGCGACGAUCCCUAUCUGGUCUGAGAGGAUGACCAGCAACACUGGAACUGAGACACGGUCCAGACUCCGACGGGAGGCAGCAGUGGGGAAUAUUGCACAAUGGGCGCAAGCCUGAUGCAGCCAUGCCGCGUGUGUGAAGAAGGCCUUCGGGUUGUAAAGCACUUUUGUCAGGGAAGCGGUACCUGAAGAAUAAGCACCGGCUAACUACGUGCCAGCCGCCGCGGUAAUAC